rnacentral:misc_RNA from 1 species
AACGCACAUUGCGCCCCUCGGUACUCCGGGGGGCAUGCCUGUUCGAGCGUCAUUGCACCACUCAAGCGUAGCUUGGUAUUGGGUCCUUCGCCCGGGAUUUCCCCCGCGGCGUGCCCGAAAAGCAUUGGCGGUCCGGUGUGACUUUAAGCGUAGUAAAUUUUCUCCCGCUUUGAAAGCUUCGCGCCGUGGCCGGCCAGACAACCCCCACAUAUUACUUCUCACGAUUGACCUCGGAUCAGGUAGGGAUACCCGCUGAACUUAA